ACGCGAAAGCUCCCUUCGGGGAGCAAGUAGAGUGGCGCACGGGUGAGUAACACGUAGGUAAUCUACCUUUGGAUGGGGAAUAACAACCGGAAACGGUUGCUAAUACCGCAUAAUGCAGCGGCACCUAAUGGUGACAGUUGUUAAAGCGGGGGAUCGCAAGACCUCGCGUCUGAAGAGGAGCCUGCGGCGGAUUAGCUAGUUGGUAGGGUAACGGCUUACCAAGGCGAUGAUCCGUAGCCGGCCUGAGAGGGCGGUCGGCCACACUGACACUGACAUACGGGUCAGACUCCUACGGGAGGCAGCAGUCGGGAAUUUUGGGCAAUGGGCGAAAGCCUGACCCAGCAACGCCGCGUGAAGGAUGAAAUCCCUCGGGAUGUAAACUUCGCAAGAACGGGAAGAAUAAGUCUGCGCAAAUAUCGCAGAUGAUGACGGUACCGUUUGUAAGCUCCGGCUAACUCCGUGCCAGCAGCCGCGGUAAUACGGGGGGAGCAAGCGUUG
rnacentral:rRNA from 1 species